rnacentral:rRNA from 1 species
GACAGAGGAUGCAAACGUUGCUCGGAAUUACUGGGCGUAAAGCGCGUGUAGGCGGUCUGGUAAGUCGGACGUGAAAGCCCGGGGCUCAACCCCGGAAGUGCGCUCGAUACUGCCGGACUAGGGUUCUGGAAGAGGAGAGCGGAAUUCCCGGUGUAGAGGUGAAAUUCGUAGAUAUCGGGAGGAACACCAGUGGCGAAGGCGGCUCUCUGGGCAGAUACCGACGCUGAGACGCGAAAGCGUGGGAAGCAAACAGG